UAACAGUAGACCAAAGGUAUGAUGAUCAAUUAUAAAUGCAAUAUGGUUGAAAGCUUGACAAAAAUGUAGCUUGAAGGAGAAGGGACAGCUGAGUAACAAAGUCCUGGUACGCAGACGACGAUACUAUUACACUGACAAGAGUGUAAUGAUGAUGGAGACACAAGCCAGAGAAAGGGGGACCAAACACCAGGCCAGAAUUCUGCAUGAGUCAGAUCCAGUGGGUGCAGAUCAUCAUACAGAUGGUUCAAGUGUGGAUCCACCUAAUAUUCAAGAUUUUCUGUCCUGGGACACUCGGCUAACCAUCAAGAAAGAACACACUCCAGUGGGCAUCCUUUAUCCAUCCAGACCCUCAUACAGAUGGUUGGAGUUUUGAUACACCUAAAGUACCAUGCAAGAGCACUCAUUUUCCCUCUUGAGACCAUGGUGUGACCUGCAAGGUUGAAUGGAGACUGUAAACGAGACAAUCUUGGAGUCACCUGCAUUCACUGGUCCAGUUGUUAGUCCAAUUACAGAUGGAGAUUAUAGAAGAGGAUGAUGUCUUUUCUCCAACAUCUUUCUAGACUGAUAAAAGAUCUAGACAGGCUUGAACAAAAGUUAACAGAGGGGCUUAUAUAGAGAAUGGUGAGCAGCUACACAUAAAAGAAGAACAUGGAGAAUCUGCCCAGAGGUGUUAACCAGCAAUGCAGCUAUACAACUAAAUUGAUGCAGGCUGAAACAAU